rnacentral:lncRNA from 12 species
CUGGGUGCUGGGUGCUGGAUGCCGGGUGCUGCGUGCCAGGUGCCAGCGAACCAAGGACACAGCGAUGCCUGCUGUCGGAGUGGGGACAUGGUUGCUGGCUGGCCCCUGCAAAGAGGAAAGGAAGCUCUCGCCGAAAUACGCGUGGAUGAGAAGCUGCCCUGCGAGGAGGACAUAAAAAGCUCCCGAGGGCGCCCGGAUGUGGUGCGCCCCGCCUGGCCUCCCGUCCUCAUCCGCGCGGGGCGGUCUCCACGUGGGAUCUGGAACGUCCCCUCUCUUUCUCUUGUUACUCGUUUUCUUCUUCCCUCAAAAGCGGAAAUGGGAUGCCCUCCCUCGCUGGAAGCCUUCACGGCAUUUUACAGGAUCAGCUAUUUCAUCAAUGUUCAAAUUUCCCAAGUAUCUUAGAACUUUCUAUCGUCCGCUUGUCACCAGCGGUCAAGGGAGACUCCUACACUGAAAUCAGUGCUAUUUCUGAAGCAACUUCUCACAAGUUCCUCGUCUGGGGUGCCUGGGUGGCUCAGUCGGUGGAGCGUCCGACUCAGGUCAGGACCUCAGGGCCAUGAGAUCGAGCCCCGUGUCAGGCUCCAAGCUCAGCAGGGGAGUCUGCUUGAGAUUCUCUCCCCUGCUCGCUCACUCUCUCUAUCAAAUAAAUAAUAAAAUCUUAGAAAAAAAAAACA